UUAGUUAUCCUCGUGCUUCUUUCCUAUUGGUCAGUUUUUUCAAGAGAAAGAUUGCUUUUCCAAGAAAAAAAAAAUUGCUAUCGAUCAAUAACGUAACUCUACGCAGAUCACACUCUUUACCGUUGGAUGAGUUUUAAUCUAACGGACCAAAUGUAAUUUAAUUCUCUGCCUUUCUUUUCGUCUCUUUUUUUUUUCGAGGCAUCUCAUCGGUUCCCAUCCCAUCUUUUCUGCAUCUCUACAGAUCUCGAGCUCAUCGGUUCCUUUCCUCUCAAUCUCGAGCUCUUCUACUGAUUCGAAGUGUUACUCACAGAUCUACUGUCUCGCUUUACUCACUCAGAGAACCAGAUUCGUGUCAAGUCUGAAGCGGUUGAGUUUGAAGCCUAGAUUUCGUGUCCUGGAUACCUUCUUCAUGGAGAGCUCGAUACUGGAAGAAGACAGAUGAAGAGGACGACGGUAACGCCGGUAAAAAGUCAAGAGACUUGGAGAGUUACGCAAGCUUUGUAUACCUCUGCUUACUGCAAUUUUUCAUCUGAGUUUGAUAUUGGGCUGAGCAAAUUUGUUUUUUUUACCUACAAUUAGAUGGAGUUGGAGUCGAGCAAGAUUUAGAAGAGAGGAGAUGGAGUUGAUUCAGAGGCGAGGGAAGAGAGACAUGAGAAGCUUGAGGGAGUUAGUUCAGAGACAAUGGCGAAGUUACACAUAGACACAAGAAGGAGGAUGGAGUAGGAAGAUGACGACAGAGUAGAUUUAGGUUUUGGUUUAAUCUGUUUUGGUUUAGUUUUUGGUUUAAUGUAUUCUGGUUUAUUUUUAUUUUUUUAUCCUGAUCUAGUUUUAUAUUUAUUUGUAAUCUAAUUUUCAUUAAUAAAUAAAAUUUCUUUUUUAAUUAAAAA